AUGGGGCGUUGCCAUGAGGCUGUGAGGGUCUGGAUGGGGAACAACAGGCUUCAGUUGAAUCCUGGCAAGACUGAGUGGCUUUGGAUUUUCAGGCCCACUGGUUUCAAAACUAUGCCAUAUUUGGUGCUGCCUGGGGUGGCAUUGCCAUAGACCCGGUGGGCAGUUGGGGAGCACAUCUCCUGCACAGUGAGCAGGUGGCAAUCAUGGCUAGGAGGGCCUUUGUACACUUGUGUGCCAGUUACACAUUAUUGGAUCAGCAGGCCAUUCUCACAAUCACUCAUGCCCCAAUUACCUCCAAUUUGGUCUAGUGUAAUAUGCUCCACAUGGGGUUGCCCUUGAAGAAUAUCUGGAAGCUUCAGCUGGUACAGAAUAUAGUGGCACAGGUGGUUAUGGGUGCUUAUAGUAUUACUGUAAGUUGCAUUGGCUGCUAAUUUGCUUCUGGGUCCAUUUCAAGGUACUGGUUUAACCUUUAAACCUUUUCAUGGCAGAGGUCCAUUUCUCC